CAACGGAGGCUGGCCCAGCAGGGGCUCCAGGAAGAUGCUCCCUUCCUGAGGGAGAAUUGCCAUGCAGAGCUGGUAGGGAGCCAGGCAGUUACUGGGGCAGCACAGAGCAGAACACACCACCUAUAUGCCACCUCACCUGAGCCAGGCGGCCCAAGAAUGCUAAGGGUCACUUUGCUCUGCCUGCCUCCUUGGCAUUAGUGCAAAGUCCCAGGCUCCAUCUGUCUGAAGGGUGGUUCUCGUGAUCAACAGGAUGAAUCCAGGUAAAGCACCUGAUACAGAAUGUGCUCCACAAAAGGCUAGUGUUCAUAUUUCGCAUCCCCUUGCUCAUGGUGAGUGGCACGUAGCCUUCUGUGGAGACUCUGCUCCACACAUGGAGCAGCCAGGAUCCCCAGCUACAAGCAACAGAAACUAUCCUGGCUAGCGAUGAUCUGUGAAGAGCUAAAUGGGGAAGGAAUGUACUGAAAGAUAAUUCACAGACUCACCAGAAAGGCUGAAUAACCAGGAGGCCUUCCCACCUUCCUUGUUUGAACGCUGGUGUUGGACGAAGUAUAACCUCAAGCUGAGGAUGCUCAGGAAGGUGCCCACCCUACGCAAGACCCCAUGUCUUCCCAAUAUGAAUAGGCACAUGUUUCCUCUAGAAAAGCCCUUGCUGUCUUUGGGCUAGGGCCAUUGUGCCUAGUUACAAGGACAUGCUCAAGAAGCAUCCUAGGAAGAAUUGUGCCAGUGCUGGUCAGAACUCCACAACCACCUUCACAGCCACCGGCUCAAAGGAACAGCCCUAUCACGGCUCUGUUAUUUCAGGGUUUUGUUCAGGAGCUGGAUAAUAUCUCAGCACCAUCUGAAGGAAUCCCUAACUCCUGUCACCUUCCAUGGUGUUGGAGAAAGGCUUCAAAUGGCAUUGGCUGACAGAAAAGAUACAAUCAUCCUCUGAGAAGGAAGUUAAUGAUGAAAGCCCCCUCCCAUGGUUUUUAUAGUAUUGUUAAUACCAUAGUUUAACAAUACUAUAGUAUUUUAUAUAUAUUUUGUAGUAUUGGUAAACCUCUCACUCUACUUUUU